UCUUGUAUAAUUGUGUAUUAAAUAACAAUGAUUGUAUUAUUUGGUUUGUUGAUGUGCUUAUUUAAAUAUUUGAUCUGAUUUCUCUUUUUCCUAUGGUUUUAUUAUAUAAAAAUGAGUGGAUUUCAUUGAUUUGUAAUGGACUAUUGACACUUGUUGUGAUUCCAUACUGUUUGAGUGUUGACUCCAUUUUGUGUUCAACCUUUAUUUUCCAUACUUGUCUGUUGGUGCAGUAAUUGCUCUGUCCAUUUGAUGGAGGUUUUAUUUAUUUAUUUUUGAAACGCCUAUCCUGCCUGUGACCUCUGCCCUAGACCUUGUGACGUCUUCCUCCAGUUUCUUCAUUUAUGAUUUGAGACAACUUGAAGAAGUGGAUGAGUUGGCUUUACAACAUGGGUGAGAGUAUCUGAAGUAAAUUAUACUACAGACUUUAUGUGAAGGGAACUUGUAGAAUAUUUGUAUUUAUGUGAGUCAGUUAUGUCUUUCAUGUAUAACAUAAUAUUUUUGGAGGGGUUUGUUCUUCUAAGGAUCCAUCUGCAGAAGUUUACCUGGUGAUGAUCAGUGUCUGGACCAUCACCAUCUUCCUAUUGUCCUCUUUUGGCAGAUGUUGACUGGGUGCUGCAGACAGAAUCAUUAAAAAGACAAUUGUCUUUCAGUGGUAUAUUUUCAUUCAGGAUUCAAUAGGUUAAUUACCCCCUUUUCCUAUUGAUCCACUAGCCCUGAGACUGAACUUAGAGAAGCUACAUCCUGGUCAGGACAGCAAAUUUUCACUUUUUAAAUGUAAAAUAUGUGCAAGGAUUCAGGGAACCUGAAUUUUCUUUCUCUGUCCCUCUUGUCCUCUGUUGCCAGAAGUUGACUGGACCUUGUCAGGGAUGAGAUGUACAGGAAGUGAAAAGCAGAAGCAUCUUUCCUAUGAAGAACACUGUUGAAGAUAAGUUUGUCUUUUUUUGGUAUAUUUGGUUAUAUGUGUAAAACAAUAAUUCUGUCCUCUGCAAAAUUAAUAAUUUGAUUUGAAAUAUGCAGGGUCAAGAUGUCAAAUUUAUCUAUACACUUAAGUUAUGUGGUAGACACACAAAUUACAUUGCGCGUUUAGGGUCUUCAGAAGAAAAUGUGCUUGGCUAAGAGAUAAUCCAAUACUUAUUAAAGAUUAAGAUAAUAUUUACUACUACUUUAAAAAUGUUAAGUAAUUCUGUUAGCUGAAUAGCAGAACAUAAAGGAAAUGAUGUAGACUUCUGGUACUGAUGGUAAUGGCUGCUGAAUUUACUCUUUGUUUUUCUUCCCCUUGUCCUCUGUUGGCAGAUGUUGACUGGAUGCUGCAGAUGGUAUCAUUAAAGAUAAGUUUGUCUCUUGGUGGUAUAUUUUUAUUCAGGAUUCAUUAGGUUUAUUAACUCCUUUUGAUCCACAAAACCAGAAACUGAAAUUUGGAGAAGCUACAUCCUGGUCAGGACUGCAAAAUUUCACUUUUUGCCAUGUUGUAUAUGUUGAAGAAUUCAGGGAACUUUAUUUAUGUAUUUUUUUUUUUCUUUCUUUCUUUCUCUCCCAUAUUAUCAUUAAUAUAUUUGUGAGCUGGAUAGUUUGGAAGCUUAGUGAUUAGCAGGCACCUCUGGUAACAUUAGUCAAUUAUACUGCUAUAUUUUCUGCCUCAUAGGUGUUGGUGCUGGAUCUACAAAAGCUCUGGAAAUCUGGGCUUCUGGACUGCAAGUUGUUCCAGGUGAAACAACUCCCUUGAAGAAAGCUGUUCUCAGCCACAAGAUGUCUUCUGAAUUCUAUGGACCACACUUUAUGAAUUACGACAUGACCAGGACAACUGACAUGUGAAGCAGACUCCCUAUGAAGAUCACCAUUAAAAGAUAAGUCUUUCUUUAUCUGCUUUAUUAUGAUUGAUUUUUCUCUUACAGUUGUAAUGUGUAUAUGGACUCCCCCUUCCUAAGGUUAACCAUUUAAAAAUCCUCAUUGCAUUUCAUGUAUAUUUGAAGAUGUGUUCUCUGAUGACUGAAACUAUAUUUGCUUGUCUUAGUUUAUAAUCACUCAGAAUUGAAUGAGCUGGAUUUCCUAACCUUCUUGGUGUUAAAAUAAAUCCAUCCAUUCAUUUGUACCAUGGAGGCAAUCUCCAAAAUCAGACAUGGAUCCCUCUGAUUUUGUGACUUGGCCCAUCCAUGGUACAUUGUCCUUCAGAGUAGAUUGAGGUUUUGAUCAGUGACUUUGGGACUACAUCAAGGACUAUACAUAAAAAGUGUUGGUGACUCAGGUCAUGGUAUAUAUGUAUGUAUUUUGGGGUGGAGGACCAUAUUGACUGACAAUUUCAGUCAGUUAAACCCCAGUAAUUCCUACCCCACAGGUGUUGUUGCUGGAUCCAGACUCCCUAUGAGGAGCACCAUUAUAAUAAGUAUUACCUUCUCUUCUGUAUUUGCUUAUGAUUCGGUAUGGUGAUAACUUUUUUUAUUUUAUUUUAAAUCCAAUAGAGCUGAUACAAUGGAAGUGGAAGAACACCCAUCCCAGUCAAGACUAGUCUAGACCAUCCAAACCUUCCUACUGGCUGUCUGAGGUUGUGGACCACCAGAACCUUCUUAGGGUAGAAGGAAUCUCUGGGGCAAUGGCCAACUGCUGGCUGCCCUGGAGACUUCCUUUCAUUUGGUUUUGUUGGACCGGGACCUCCAUUCCUUUGUAGUUGUACUGUAAUUUAAAAAUUCAAAAUAAAUUCCAUUGAACUUAACAUGGUUGUUCUGUCUUUCUCCUCCCUUAGAAAAUGUACUUCAUGUAAACCUGUUUUCUAUGAAAAUAAAUGCUCAACAAUAGCCUCUGGUGGUCAUGUCAGUGGAUGUCAAAUUCAUAGUGGGCCUAAAUUA